AUCAUUUCUUCUGGUGAUCUAGUAUAGUUUCUUUCUAUUUGUCCUUGCCCUACCUUUUACGGCCUUAUCUUUGGGAUGAGUGGCUAGUUGGCAAGGGGAUAUUUUAUUCAUGGUUAACUUAGAGUAAGGGGGCAUAUGGGUAUCUAUUGUACUCUAUAAUGAGCCUAGAGGGAAUAAUAUAGUGACUCUAGAGUGAAGACACACAUAUAUGUUAGUGCACAGGUGUGAGUACAUACUGCCGUAAAGUUAGUCAACCACCCUCCUCCUUGCUUCUCCUGUAUUCUUUUGGAGGUGGGGUGGGUGGCUUAUCAUUUGUGCACCUGGCUUUCUCUCUGUGUCCCAGUUGUCAGCUCUUUCUCUGGUCUCUUGGCACAAGUCCCAAGGCCAUUUGAUGCCUUUCUUUAUCUGAUUUUUCUCUCUUUCUCCAUCCCCAUCCUUGACUUGCUCCCCAUGGGAAUUUGUUUAGUAAAUUUUGUUUUUAACUCCUUCCAGUCAGGAUUAGCUAGAAGACCUAAGAAGGCCCCUAUUCUUUUUUUUUCCUCAUUGAGUUUAUCGGUACAUUUUAGGUAUACAGUACAGAUACAUUCAUUACUUGGAUCUUACAUGACAGGUCUUGGUUCUCAUUUUUCCCCUUGUCCCUUCCAUCCCUUCACCCUCUCCUCCCCUCCCCAUUUACAGACACUUUAUUUCCAUUUUUUCAUAGUUUUUUCUUUUCCCUUAUUCCCUUCCCCCUACUCUUCCCACUUCCCCUACACCUUUAACCCUUUUCUUCCUAUUUCACAUUGUUAAUUAUCUCAUUAGGAUCUUGUGAACUAGUAUAGUUUUCACACCAGAGAAACUAUUCAGUAUUUACACAUGUGUGACUUAUUUAUUUCACUUAGGAGUAUAUCCUCAAAAUGUAUCCAUUUUCUUAUGAUUGACUCUAAUUUCUCAUUCUUUUUAUUUUGGUACCGGGGCUUUGAACUCAGGUCCUUGCGCUUGCAAGGCAGGCCACCGAACUGCUGAGCUAAAUCCCCAGCCCCUUCUCAUUCUUUUUAUUAAAGAUUGCAAACAUACAUGAUAAUAAGAAAUGAAGAUACUGAAUAAAAAUUUCAAAUAUGCAUUUAUAUGACAGCAAAAAAAUGAUAUGAAAUAAACAAGAACUUAUGUAAUACAGACUAAUCAAAAUACAUUAAUUUGAUAUGAUCUGCAAACAUUAUGUUCU
rnacentral:lncRNA from 1 species